AGAGAAAAGAAUAAGACAUUUUGAUUUGUCUCUGGAGAAGGAGAUUAUGUCCAAAUAUACCAGGGAGACAACAUUGGAUGAUAAAGACGAUCAAGCGGAAAUAAGGAGUAAAGAUUUAACAACGACACCCCCACCCUCAACAAAGGAUCUUGUAACAAAGAAAAGUAAG